rnacentral:rRNA from 1 species
GAUGAACGCUGGCGGCGUGCUUAACACAUGCAAGUCGAACGAAGCACUUUACCUGAUUUCCUUCGGGGAUGAUUGUUCUGUGACUGAGUGGCGGACGGGUGAGUAACGCGUGGAUAACCUGCCUCACACAGGGGGAUAACAGUUGGAAACGACUGCUAAUACCGCAUAAGCGCACGGCACCGCAUGGUGCAGUGUGAAAAACUCCGGUGGUGUGAGAUGGAUCCGCGUCUGAUUAGCUUGUUGGCGGGGUAACGGCCCACCAAGGCGACGAUCAGUAGCCGGCCUGAGAGGGCGACCGGCCACAUUGGGACUGAGACACGGCCCAGACUCCUACGGGAGGCAGCAGUGGGGAAUAUUGCACAAUGGGGGAAACCCUGAUGCAGCGACGCCGCGUGAGCGAUGAAGUAUUUCGGUAUGUAAAGCUCUAUCAGCAGGGAAGAUAAU